rnacentral:rRNA from 1 species
UGAGUAACACGUGGGUGAUCUGCCCUGCACUUUGGGAUAAGCCUGGGAAACUGGGUCUAAUACCGAAUAUGAUCAUGGCCUGCAUGGGUUGUGGUGGAAAGCUUUUGCGGUGUGGGAUGGGCCCGCGGCCUAUCAGCUUGUUGGUGGGGUAAUGGCCUACCAAGGCGACGACGGGUAGCCGGCCUGAGAGGGUGACCGGCCACACUGGGACUGAGAUACGGCCCAGACUCCUACGGGAGGCAGCAGUGGGGAAUAUUGCACAAUGGGCGCAAGCCUGAUGCAGCGACGCCGCGUGAGGGAUGACGGCCUUCGGGUUGUAAACCUCUUUCAGUAGGGACGAAGCGCAAGUGACGGUACCUAUAGAAGAAGGACCGGCCAACUACGUGCCAGCAGCCGCGGUAAUACGUAGGGUCCGAGCGUUGUCCGGAAUUACUGGGCGUAAAGAGCUCGUAGGUGGUUUGUCG